AAAAGCCCGAGGGCAACUGACGCCGAAAGGUGAGGAAAGUCCCCCCUCCACAGCUGGCUGCAACCGGUGAAAGCCGGUAUGCCGAGAGGCAUGGUUAAGAGACAAGAAAUAAACGGUUCCAUGUGAAGGAUGAUUUGAAAAAAUGACGUUUCAUGGAGUGCUGAUGAGAACUCUCCCUGCAGGGAGCAAGUCUAAAUUGAAUCGUUGACUACAGCUGCUAGAUUCAGGUAAGACGCAUAGUCGAAUGUUGCCAACCGAAAGGCUAACAGAAGGAGGCUUACUCCGGGCAUUU
rnacentral:RNase_P_RNA from 18 species